CCUUCUGCCAAUAUUCUCGCUUUUUUGGCAACGAUUAGCUGUGAGGAGGCACAACUGGACCCGCCUUCUCCGAACUCAAUUAAAGAGUUCAUUGAUGGCGUUAAUCUUUACGGGGCAGAAAAUAGAUCCGGCUAAGGUGGGCGGGGCAGCAGGCGCGGAGGGAUCCUUGGCCUUUGAGGAAGGCGACGAGAAGCUCGGCGGCCAUCGCCGCCAUUUUGGGCUGGGAGGAGGCAGCGGAGGGACUCGCUGCGCAGUGAGAGCACCCCGUGGGGGGUGGUCCGGGCGCGGGGAGAGGCCGGGCCGAGUGGGCUACCUGAAGUGGCGGCGCCGGGAGACGGCGGGAAGUGGGACCGGGGGCCAGGGAGGGUGAAGGUUGGAGUCUCCUCGGCCGAGCCCGGUCCUCAAACCGUCCCGGCAGCCCCGCAGCCUCGCCUCUCACAGAGUGCGGGGUUCUUCGCAUCAAGAAAGAAAACCAAGGCACUAGAAAGCAAGCACACUUAAGUAUUGAAGAUAAUUACAUCUUAAAUUUUGCCUGAACUGUAUAUUGUAGCAUACUUAAACCCAUUCAAGGAAAAAAUUGGCAAAUUGAAAAUUCUCCCAUUAAAGAUUGAUAUUUUUGCAAACUGACAAAUUUAACGAUUUCGGUACCCCUCCCCAAAAAUGCAGUCACAUAAAAUAUAUCAAUACUAUUUUGAAUUAGCUCUAGAAAUCACACUGAAACUAUGUUACAUUUACAAAUAUUAAAUUUAUUAUAACUAAAAUGAAUUUAAUUGUUCUCAGAUUUGGCCACCUUAUAGCUCCGUUUAAGGAGGGGAUUUGUUAAAAACAAAAAUGCAUUAUAACUUGGUCAAAUUACUUUCACAUUAAGGAAAAAAACUUCUAAAAAGGAAAACAAGAAAAGCAACUCUUCAGUUUCACAUAAUUAAAAGAACAGGAGAAAGCACGCAAGCUACAUAUAGCUAAAUUUACGAAACCAA
rnacentral:lncRNA from 1 species